CAACAAGUGACACUGGGAAGUAGCAAGGAAACUUCUAUUCAGAAAUACACCACUGUUAUUUACCUAUGUUUUUCCUUUGCUUUUUUUCCUUCAAGAUUUCAAAGAUCAGUCAAAGAGUCACUUCAGAAAAGGGCCAUAUUGGUAUUUGGUCUACCAAGCCAGCUGCACUGAAUUGAAGAACAAGAUGGGGGAAAGCACCAGAGAACAAGGAAAGAGACAUCUACAAGAGGAGAGAAAUUGAUCUCAAGAAACUACAAAUGAUACAGAGUAACUGAAGUUAUUAUGCCUUUAGUUCCCCGGAGAAGCUAUGGAAUUCCAGCUCUAUAUAAAGAAGGGAGAGAACAGGAUUACUUAGCAUUUUUUGGUUUUACUUCAUUUCAUCCUGCACUAAAACAAGGGCUGUGCUUCUAGGAUUCUGUCUGGUCGAUGAAUAGGAGAACGAUAUAGAGUUGAAAAUGAUGAAGCACACUUGACUUUGGUAACAGGUCAGAAAUUCCAAGUUUCUAAGGACAGCAAGGAACACAGGUUAAGGGUGAUACUUUUUCAGAAGUUCUAAAUCUUCAGGAAGAAUCCUAUUCCUCCAGAACCUAUUCCUAUAAUAGGAUUAUCUAGAGGAAAAGAGCCAACAACAACAACAGCAAAUAUAUAUAUAUAGUGUUCUCAUAUUUAUGAGAGAGAGAGAGAGAGAGAGAGAGAGGAAGAAGAGGAAGAGGAAAAAGAAGAAGGAGAAGGACAAGAAGGAGGAGGAGCAGGAAUAAUUAAUGGUAUAGCCCUAGUCUGGGACAGAGGCCUGGAACCUCUCUGAAGAGUCACUGGUCAGAGUCUGCAUGAAGACUGGAAAAGCUGGAGUCCUGUGUCCUCAGGUGAUCUCAGCAGCAGUGGAAGCCACCCACUAAAAAGGAACGGUGCUUUCUUUCUCA